rnacentral:piRNA from 1 species
AUCCUGGCUCUGUGGUCCCUGGG